GGCGCAGUGGACUAAUGGUUAGCACGUUGGACUCCGGAUCAAAUGGUCCAGGUUCAAGCCCUGGUUGUGGUCA